GACGAACGCUGGCGGCGUGCUUAACACAUGCAAGUCGAACGCAGUGGCGAACGGGUGAGUAACGCGUAAUCAACCUGCCCUUCAGAGGGGGAUAACAGUUGGAAACGACUGCUAAUACCGCAUACUGAAGGAGGGGAUUGCGUCUGAGUAGCUAGGUGGAGGGGUAACGGCCCACCAAGGCGAUGAUCAGUAGCCGGUCUGAGAGGAUGAACGGCCACAUUGGAACUGAGAAACGGCCCAGACUCCUACGGGAGGCAGAAGUGGGGAAUCUUCCGGAAUGGAGGAAAGUCUUACGGAGCAAGGCCGCGUGAGGGAUGACGGCCUUCGGGUUGUAAAGCUCUGUUAAUCGGGACGCGGUACCGGAAUAGAAAGCCACGGCUAACUACGUGCCAGCAGCCGAGGUAAUAC
rnacentral:rRNA from 1 species